rnacentral:lncRNA from 1 species
ACUGCUCGGUGCUCGAUCCGUGGGUGUACCACUCGGAAUCGGCGUGGAUCAGCGAGGUCUCUGCCCGCGAGAACGCGGCCGUCGCCAUGGCCCUCCAUAUCUCCCUCUCCGACACCACCACCUCAUCCUCCUCCUCCUCCUCCGCCGCCUCCGCCGACACCCUUUCCUCCCCUCUCCUCCUCCUCCAGCACCAACUCACUCCCCCCUCUUGCUCCUCUGCGUCCGGAGACGCCACCCUUCGCCGGCGGAAUGCCCUCGGCCCGGCCCUGCAGGGGCGGGUCUCGAAGAGGAAGUCGCACGCGUCGAAGCGAUCGGCCACCACCUACAUCUCCGCCGACCCGAUCGACUUCCAGGAGGUGGUGCAGCGGGCGACGGGGUUCCGGUUCGCGGGGGAGCCACUGGUGAAGCCCGAGCCGGUACGGUCCGCGGCGGGCGACCGGGCGGCCCUGCAACAGAUCCGCCUGCCCACGCU